rnacentral:lncRNA from 1 species
AGCAACUGAAUGCCUGGGUGGAUCAAGGUGGUGAUCUCUUUUCGUCCUGUAGCAAAGUAGACUUGUGGGUGUGGUCUGCCUUCACUGAGAUGGAAAUAAGAAAUUACAACUAGAGACCAUCAGAUCUGUAAGGCCUGGAGAGCCACGCAGAAGGAUGCAGACUGGUCAUCGGGCAGGAGUAUUGGUGCACAGAUGGCCAGUAUUGGAGGCUGAGACUUGAGAGAUGUCAAACAUCUGAGUGGGAUUAUUUUAGAAACAUCCUAUUGAAGUCCAUAAAAAUCCUUUUGAAAUUUGCAUUGAGAUUGACUUGGUAUGUUUGAAAUUUCAUCCAAUUUUCUACUGAGCUGUUUGUCACUAAAAUUUAGUUUGAGUUGAUUAUAAAUUAAACAAUUAUUAAUAUUUGCGAGAACCUUACCUUUUAAUUUUUAUAAUAGUUUUAUCACAAAGAUUGUUUUUAUUUUGAUUCUCUCAUUCUAUUUGAUGCCGGGACGGUGAGCCGAGGAGUCGAAGGAAAGAUUUCUUGGACUCUCAAGGUCUGGCAGUAGUGCUCUUUUAUUCAGAGAAUAGUAUGGAGUAGCAUGGGG